rnacentral:lncRNA from 10 species
GGAGGACUGUUGGGAAGGCAUAAUUUGUUUUGAAAUGAGAUUAGGCAAGGGCCAGGGGCAGAAUGAUAUGCUUUGGUUGUGUGCCCACCCAAAUCUCAUAUUGAAUUCCCACAUGUUGUGGGAGGGACCCGGUGGGAAGUAAUUGAGUCAUGGGGGUAGGUCUUUCCCAUGCUGUUCUCGUGACACUGAAUACGUCUCACAAGGUCUGAUGGUUUUAAAAAGGGUAGUUUCCCUGCAGAAGCUCUCUCUUUCUCUGCUUCCAUCCAGCUGAGACAUGACUUGCUUUUUCUUGCCUUCUAACAUGAUUGUGAGGCUUCCUCAGCUACGUGGAAAUAAACUCCUGGAGGGCAGAUGCAUGCCUGCCAUCUUCAUCGUUUCAUUACCACCAUCCAACACUAUCGGGGGACCUGCCCUGAUAAUCAGCAUGUAACGAGGCUCAACACAACUCUGUAUGGGAACAGUCAGGUUGGAGUCUACAGGUGUAUCCAGCAGCUCCAGAGAGACAGCGACCAGCGAGAAGGGGCCAUGAUGAUGGUGGUGGUUUUGUCAAAAUGAAAAGGGGGAUAUGUAGGGAAAAGAAAGAGAGAUCAGACUGUUACUGUGUCUACAUAGAAAGGGAAGCCAUAAGAGACUCCAUUUUGAAAAAGACCUGUACUUUAAACAAUUGCUUGCUGAGAUGUUGUUUAUCUGUAGCUUUGCCCCAGCCACUUUGCCGCAACCACUUUGACCCAAUCUGGAGCUCACAAAAACAUGUUUGUAUGAAAUCAAGGUUUAAGGCAUGUAGGGCUGUGCAGGACGUGCCUUGUUAACCAAAUAUUUGGAAGCAGUAUACUUGGUAAAAGUCAUCACCAUUCUCUCGUCUCAAUAAACCAGGGGCACAAUGCACUGUGGAAAGCCGCAGGGACCUCUGCCCUUGAAAGCUGGGUAUUGUCCAUGGUUUCUUCCCAUGUGAUAGUCUGAAAUAUGGCCUCAUGGGAUGAGAAAGACCUGACGGUCCCCCAGCUCGACACCCAUAAAGUGUCUGUGCUGAGGUGGAUUAGUCAAAGAGGAAAGCCUCUUGCAGUUGAGAUAGAGGAAGGCCGCUGUCUCAUGCUUGCCCCCUGGGAACUGAAUGUCUCGGUAUAAAACACGAUUGUACAUUUGUUCAAUUCUGAGAUGGGAGAAAAACCACCCUAUGGUGGGAGGCGAGACAUGUUUACAGCAAUGCUGCCUUGUUAUUCUUUACUCCACUGAGAUGUCUGGGUGCAGAGAAACAUAAAUCUGGCUUACAUGCACGUCCAGUCAUAGUACCUUCCCUUGAACUUCAUUAUGUCAUAGAUUCUAUUGCUCACAUGUUUGUUGCUGACCUUCUCCUUAUUAUCACCUUGCCCUCCUACUACAUUCAUUUUUGCUGAAAUAAUGAAGAUAAUAAUCAAUAAAAACUGAGGGAACUCAGAGAACGGUGCCAGUGCAGGUCCUUGGUAUGCUAAGCGCCGGUCCCCUGGGCCCA